AACAAGAUUUGCUGACAACAAUAAUCAUUCUUAGAUAUUAUUUGKUUAUCUUUGUGUUUCCCACUGACCUUGCUGAGUUGACAGAAUGGUCAACUGGCUUUUUUAAAUUAUUUUAAAGCACAACUGAACAGUUUUAGAGGGAUACUGUUCGCAUUCUAAGGGCUUGUUGUGUAACGUUCUGGGAAAUAUCUAGUCUGUAAUUGUGCAGUUUCUCAUGCCAGCUAAUAACAACACUUAAAAGAAAUCUGCUUCAACAAACUUAAACAGCAUACUGCCACUCAAAUCUCAUAUUUCGACCACGACUUUGAACAUGUUGGUAUUUCUGAUUUUUUAUUAAAGGUGCACCUGUUAAUUUUAUUUCUUUUUGCUUAAACGUGUUGAUAACGGGUACUGUUUGCAUAUUCUUUAAUCUAAAACUAAAGACCGUAAGUCUGCAAGAAACACUAGCGCGUAUUUGCAGUUUCAUGUAUGGAUCUUUUUAGUUUACACAUGUGGGGUAUUUCAGAUCUGACCCUAUUUUGCCCAUAUGUUGUUGCCAAACAGUCUAAAAGCACUCUAGUGAGGUUGGGGGUCUAUCCUCCUUCCUGCGUUGCGCUGCACGCGUUUCGUACAUCGGGUUAUCUCAUAACAUUCCAUAUUGCCAUAUCUUCGAUGCUGUUUCAGGUUGUCUCAGCCAUUUCCAGGUUUUUAUCUCCCGCCGAGAUUAAUCUGAGUGGCUGGUGGGGAUCUGUUUCAGCACCCCGACCCGGGUUUGCUCGUGCUCGCUGGUUCUCACCUGGAGGAACAGAAGGGCGUGAGGUAGCCGGCUUGGGGGUGCAUGUGAGACCGUGUGUGAGGUGAUGAUGUCAUCAGUUCUCCCAAACAGGACUUUAAGUUACUUCCUUAAUUGCAUAAAUGGAACAACUGCGAGGCAGUUCCUGGAAGCCAGUCGACCGUAUUACAUUGCUAAAUAUGAGCUAAUGCUAAUAGAAGCAGACAUGAGUGCAGUGUGUAUACAGAAUAUGACGUCUGGUUUCCUCCUGGCUUUGUUCAGAGAACAGAGGUUUUAUUUAUAAAUAAGGACAAGAUGGAGAACUGAUGUGUUUGAGUUUUGUUGUUUCUUAGAAACUAAAAUUGAAUGAUUAAUUAAUCAUUAUCAGUUUUCACACACGGAAAUGUCUGUCUGACAGAGUGUUUUUUGAUUUAUUUCUAAUUUUCGUUUUCUCUCUGUGUUGUGAGUUUCUUUUUUCACAGGGACAAUGCUGUUUCUCAUGGGGGGUGAUGCUCCACUUCCACCUGGACCGGCUAGGAGCUGCGCGCCACCUGGCAUUCCUGGGGGUUCUUUCGGGGGAGGACCAUUCGUUCCAGCAUCAUCACAUUCCACCUUGAGCAGGCGUGAUUCUUGCUGUUCUGUUGUGGUUUCUGAUCACACAUACCCUGCCUUAUUUGACAUAAUGAGAACAGAACAGUUUUACACAGUGUGUGACUGUUUCCUGUCACACUGUUUUACAUUCUUUCCGCCUCCAUGAAACUUCGAUUUGUCCCAUCUGCUAUACUGAACUAAUUUGUGCAUUUCUUACUGGCUUAUUAUUGUGAAUUUUUGCAUACCCCACCAGUUUAAUUGCAAUGCAUUUGUCCUCACGAAGCCUAGGUUGAUAUUUGGCUCCCCCUCAUGGGAAUAAAAUAUGAGAGUACAUGACUUUUAAACAUUUAGCCUUCUCUAGAUGUUUUGGGGUUAAUUUUUAUUUUAUUUUAUGCUUUGUUCUGUUAUUUUCUUCUAUGUUUUUCUAGAGUUUUUUGUCCUCUGUGCAGCUCUCUGGUAAAGUUUAGAAUGACUGUCUGCUGAGUCCCUCUGGGAUUCUUCCAUCGACAGCCAUUUUUUGCUUAUUUGUUUCUGUCUGCGGUUGUGGUAAUCCCAGGGAGGGGGUAUUCCAUUACCUCGAGCCUGGAACGCCACGAAGACRURUUUGAGGGAGUAUUAGCCCRUCUGGGUUUUACCUGUGAGGUCUGGGGAGCUGAAGAAGUGCUGUCCAAACGGCGUCUAUGUCUUUCACAGAGGACUAGUUCUAGGCUUAUUUAGAAUUUAGCUUAGGUGUAACAAGAGGAAGGUGGAGCUUCUACUUUAGUUUAAUUUAUUUAGAGUUUUGGGUUUAGCUUUUGUUUGUUAUUUUUUGUUACACAUUUGUUUUUUGUUUUCCUUGCACAUGCCAGCUUAUGCCAGUAGUCCAUUGCACUAUUUUUCCCAUAUUUCUCCAUUAUGUUUGUUGGGCGAUGCAUUUGUGGAACAGACAUUUAAUAAUUAUUCCUUUUCCAUUUCUGGUAUUGAGUAUUGUUUACUCAAGAGGAGUGAUUGUCAUGGACUAAUUAUUUCUGUAUCACCUUGACACUGACCACUGUUCAUAUCUCGUGAUAUCUUCCGGACGUCAGCAUCACAUUGACCUAUUUUCAAGUAUCAGGAUGAGGCAGGUUGUGGUUGGUUGUUCAUUAUCACAUGAUGUUAGCUGACAGUAUAUCAUUGCUUGGCAGCCUAUGACAGGCGGGCCCACAUCCAACAGACUUCCUGAUUGUUUUCUGUUCCAUGUCUGCCCAUUAAUAAAUGACUUUA